rnacentral:rRNA from 1 species
UACGUAGGGUGCAAGCGUUGUCCGGAAUUAUUGGGCGUAAAGAGCUCGUAGGCGGUUUGUCGCGUCUGCUGUGAAAACGCGAGGCUCAACCUCGCGCCUGCAGUCGAUACGGGCGGACUUGAGUGUUGCAGGGGAGACUGGAAUUCCUGGUGUAGCGGUGAAAUGCGCAGAUAUCAGGAGGAACACCGAUGGCGAAGGCAGGUCUCUGGGCAUUAACUGACGCUGAGGAGCGAAAGCAUGGGAGCGAACAGG